CGGGAGGGAACCCGAUUUCCGGUCACACACUUUCCCCCUCCCUCCCCCGCUCCCCCUCACACGGGCCCACCCCGCUCCCUCCAGCCCCCAAGCCCGCGCCACGGGUCCCAAUUCACCCCACCCCCUUCCCCCGGGCACCGCCUUAGCCCCCUGUUGCAGGCAGUUCCGUGACUCCCGUGCUGAGGAGAAUGAGAGACUUCUGAUUUGGGAUGUGUCUGACAGAAAUUCAUUUCUGUACCCAGGCUGCUCUGUCUUGUUAAUUCAAGCUGCAGUGCGCUGAUCACUAGGGAGCAGAACGCUUUCCCAUGCUGCAAUAUAUCCUUCAAAGUUGUUUGUGAAUUUGUGUCAGUUUGCCCACUCUGCUCAGGAAUCAGCACAGAGCUAUCAUGAGCCCCAGGUAAAUGCUCCCACUGCAGGAGUUGACAGAGCUAUUGAAGCCAGAUGUGCACUGAGUGAUGGUAAAACUGCCAUUGAGGACAAAGAUUGCCACAGGCAAUGGGGAAAAACAUUAGAAAGGGCUGCUCGUCGUCAGAAGAUCUCAAAGCACUGUACAAAGAUGAGUCGCCAGACUAGCCCCUGAAGAAGGCAGUUCACCAACACCUUGAAGUCCUCCUUUGUGAAGUUAGUCAUUGACUGGCCCCAAAACCAUCACUAGGAGCAAGUGAAGUCACCUUGACAGGAGCAGAUACCCAUGUAAAAGCAGAUACGCAGUGAAAAACACCGUUCUGCUAAUCUUACAGUAUGGUGAGGAAGACAGAGAAAAGACAAGAAAGUGGCCAGAUUCCACCUCAUCAUCUUCAACUUGAUUGCAGUUAAUCUGAUACCUCUGCAAAGCCAAAUGAUUAUUGAGAGCAAGAUUGUCUAAGCUAAGACAGCAAAUACUAAAGCCAUUGAGGCCAUAUUUUAACCUCUUAACUGCUAAUUUCACUGCAGGACAAUGUACACUAUACACUUUUGUAUCUAGCAGUGGAACUGGGUGGGUGCAGUGUAUAUCUGUGACAAGGUGAUUGCCCAUAGGGUUUUUGAAACACCUUGAAUAUAAAUGUUUUAUCCGUAGCCUUUGACUAUUAAUGGUAAAUCUUCUCCCCCAAAUAUCACUGAAAAAGUUCAGCAGGCAAAGUUAAAAUCAAAUAGGGCCAAUCCAAUAUCCAUUAAAGUAAUGAAAAGAGCCCUCCUGACUUUAAUGGGAAUUAAAUAAGGCUAAUAUUGGCAAAAUAACUGAUAUUGAAAUUCUUCGAGUGAUUGCAGAUGUCCUUUACAUUAGGAGUAUGUGUGUGUGUGUCUUGUGCACCAGUGCCAGAGAGUUUUCCCGAGUAGUACUCAUAGUGGUGACCACACCUGUGAUCUGGUAUCCCUCAUGCUUUGAGCCAAGGGCAUAAGGGCAGAGCCGCCCCACCAAACCUUCGUUCCUUCUUACCAUUGGUGGUCAGUGUGUGCUAUUAGCUCAUUCGUUCUGCAAACAAGACAUUAUAGUUAAUUCUUUUUGUUAGGUAGUGGUACUCAUUUUGAGUCCUUGGACCUUCUUUCUUCCCCCACCCUCUCAUUUAACAUAUUCUCCACUGUUAGUAGUUAGUGGACUGUGGGCUCUGCCUGGUACCAGGAAAGCCUGGGCCAGGUUCCCCUGGCUUCAAGCCCUGCUCUGGGUGUGUCAAACCAACACCCAUGAGCAACCCUCACUCUUGCUGUCUGAAGUGCUUGGAUAAGUGUUGUGUCAGGAGUAGGUGUGUGAUUUGCUGAUGCUUCAAGAUAAGAAGUAGGAAUCAGAACACUUUAGGUACCUCCUUGUAGAAGCCACUCUUUGCCUGGCAUCAGUACCACCUCAGUCAGCUAAAGGGAAUUCCUCUCCAUUCUUAGCUAUGGAUAGAGACAGGAGGAGAUCCCCUUCACUGGAGCAGUCCUCAAAGAGGCACAAGCUCUUGGGGCACUCUUGGCCUCUGAAACCAAAGAAGAGGAUGACUUCCACAUUGUCAGAAUUCUCUUUGUGGGACUCCUCAACCAUAGAGGCUAGUCACUCUUGUAACAAAGGUAGAGUGCACCCUUCGGCCCACCGCUCCCUGGUACCACAUCGUGGGGCUCAACCAGGCCAGAGUUGUUGAUUCUGGUUCCUGUGCUGGGACCGUUGAGGCUGGUUGCUUUCUCAGCACAGCCCAUGCUCAUAGAGGGGCAAAGGCCCUUUUGGUACUAACCACCCUGGAAACCUGUGCAGCUGCAGAGAAUCUGCUGAGCUUCUGAGGCCGGUCACACAUAGUGCACACAUUGGCUUCCAUAUUGGGAUUUGCUAUGGUGUCAGUGACUUCAGGUCUGGUCCGCUUACAGCAAUCUCAAUGCCAGCUCCGAGACCAAUGGUAACUGUUCUGCCUCAGCACAUGUACUGACAGCCAGGAAGCCCCCAAAGUUGUCGCCGAUACAGACCUGUCAUAGAUAAUGGUUUCACUCUCCAGCAACACUGCCCAGUUCCACUUCACCCUGGCCUUUGGAUCAUCUUAAUUACUUGCUCUUUCUUAUGUUUAAUCAAUAAACUUUUAAUUUAAAUAAAUGCUUUUAAGUAUUCACCAAAUAACCACAUACAAGCAAAAAAAAAAUUUCAAACCUAUUUAAUAUUAAAUAAUUAAAAAAUCAUAAACACCCCUAACUCUCUACGUCUUUAAAAUCAAUAUCCAUACAACAUGACCUAUACUUCUACUGAAGAUUUGAAAUGUCCAACCAAAAUUAGAGUUGGCCUCUUUCAUCAUCCAAUCAGGGAACAAGACAGUUCUUUUCAGUUCCUGCAACUUGGACUGGAAUUUUCCAGUCUCUUUAUGCAGCACUUUUUGUCACACCAGCCUGUAUAAGACAAAUUAGGCUAUAAAUGUUGGUAGAGCCAUCUUAGGACAUACCUUGAACACUGGCUGGUUUGCUCCUCUGGAAGUCACUUUCCAUGGUCCUUUUUGUGAUGCAUCCCUUGGCUAACUUUGCAAUUAUGCUUGUUCAAGUUUCAGUUUCUCCAUCAGUCCUCUGCUAGUUGCUGAAAUGUCCAGUUUAAAGUUCAUAAAAUUUAUACAAAAUCUGUCUAUAUUCUUUGAUGGUCUUUAAACUUGUUUAAUAGUCCAUUAUACAAGGCAAAGACACUUCAAGAACUCUUGUUCUCAAGCAGAUCAGAAAGCUGUAUAAAUCUUCCAUUUCUGUUCUCUUUAAUAACAUUGGUGGGUCCUUGGUAUGAAUGGCUGAGAUGAAUUUGUGCAUUAUUAACCAAACAGUUACAUUUCUGAUUCUUCCACUCUGAGACCAGGUGUCCUUAUAAAAACAAUAUUUGGUUUCAGUUCUUUUUAUUUACUGCUUCUUUCAUCACAGGUACAUUUCAUUAACUUAAUAGCAUAAGCAUGCUUGCUUGCAAAUAUUAGCCUUACUUCUUCACUUUAUUACUUAAAGAAAUCAAUAUGAACACAACCCCUUUCUUUCCCAAACAGGAUUGCCUAUGAGGUAAACCAUGUCAUUAAAGUUUACAAUAUUUUGCCCAAAA